GUUUCCUAUGAUGAUACACCAUACUUUUAUUUUAUUCUGGUACCUCUUAUAUCAUCGGGCCUUUUGGCCUGAAAUGUAUUAAACGGACUUCUGAUU
rnacentral:snoRNA from 1 species